GAUAACUUCAUUCUGGUGUGAAAUAAUUGCUCCGCGGUAACCAUUUUUACAUCAUUACGCCAGUCCACUUUGUUUAUGCAUGCAUACGCGUAGCAGGCGGCGUCGGCAGCAGACGGUUCCUGGCAAGCGCUGCUGGGUGCUGCCUUUGGCUGCUACUGCUGCCGUUUGCCAGCAAUUUAGCGGCGGCAGUAGCAGCACCACACAGCGCAACGGCAGCAGCGGCUAACUGUGUAAUGUCCCUCGGCUAAUACACAUCGGCCGGGACACGGUUGUCUGCUGCUGCUGCUGAUGCCGCUGCUGUUGGUAGAACGUAGCCGCUUUCGCAACAGCCCCCCACUCCCGAAGCAAAGAGUUGUUCACCUCGCAACAGUUGCCCAGUGGGUUCUAGUAGCCGGAUGGCAGUAUGGUCAGCAGUGUCGCUAGAUUGCGAAUCCUUCCCUGGACGGAAAACGCGAGCGUUCGGCAGUGUGGUGCGUUUGAGUGUGUUGAGUGCGAGUGCAAGUGGUCAUACCGUCGAAAGGAUGCAAAGAUGGGCUACAACCAGCAAGCAGCCCUUUCGUUGCGUCGUGGUCAGUGCGUUCGUUCAGUUGGAAAAAUAUUUGACGCAAACUGUGCUACUACAUCCACAACAACAACAACAACAACAGUCGCAGCAGUUCGGCAGGAAAACAAACCCUCUCCAGGCGGCGGUGGUGUGCGUGCAGCGUAAGCGUGUGUGCUAUCCUUUUCCGAAACCGUGACCGGUGUGAAAAGUGUACGUUUUCGUUUGUUUAUUAUCAUCCGACCCUGUCAACAAUAAACGUGCAGUGGACGACAGUGGCCUCGCGUCAUUGUGCAAGAUGUUGUAGCUCUUCCGGUAUGCAGUGGAAAACCAUCCUACAGGAACGGAAGCAGAUUGAAGGAUAAAUGAGUGUGUUUAAUUAAACGCUCAAUUCGCAUUUUUUUUCGUGGGUACAUGUGAUUUGGUGAAUCUAGCCCGGUGCAGUAACGGUUGUUGUUUUCGUUUUGUGACCUUUUUUAUCCGUGAACGUACAAUAACACUAUAAAGUUUUGGAAACACAAAAUAUGUUGCGUUCAAUUAUGGCAACUUUCAUCCCUUCUACCGUUGAGUGUAAACAAACCAGUUCGAUGCGUGAUGACCCGUACCCGCCUUUCGCAGUGGUUAUGGUAACCUAGUGCGUCAUCAUCAUGUGCGAGCGUCGUCAGGUUCGCGGAAAGAUACGGCAGGACACACGACGAUAGUAUUGAGUGCAUUCUCUCGCCUCGACGGUGAUAAGCAUAAAUGUGAAUGCGAGACUCAGCUGUUUGUGCCGUACCGGAACCGGAGCUGGAACGUGCUGCUGAACCAUGGUUUCAACACAAAACACAACACAGUGCAAUCGGUGUUGUUGGACAGCAACUUAUUUGCUACCUACAGUGCGAACUUUGUGAUUCUUCGUUCAAUUUAUUUUUAAACAACAUGGCACGGUGUGCAGAAAAUGGCAAGUGAAACUCCUGUAAAGAUUCUUUGGCUGCCUACGACUCCCGUUGUUUAUUUAUUUUCCGUUUCUUAUUGAAUUAAUGACUUGACCAUGAAUAUUAUUCAACCAGGAUUCUUCAAACCAAAUGUGAAAAGCAACAAUGUUAUUAAUAACAACCAAGCUAUAUCAAGAUACGAACACUCAACGGAAUCGACUAUGGAAACUCUAGCUAAUUCAUUUGCUGUAACCAACUCCACUACUUUGUUUCAUUGCAGUGCAAUUGAACAGCACAGCACAAUAUAAUUCUCAUUCGUUCUGUCCUUGCUUUCACACCUUCGUUCAUUGACGUUUCUACUAAACUGCUAGACAGGUUUCCUUAGCUGGAAAUCUAUCACUUAGUACUAAAAUAACCUUCGAGUGGACUACACACGCUCCCGAGCACGAAUGAUCAACUUAAAAAUGGUUUGGGUUCUACAGCCUACAAAACAUUUCGAAUGUUUCAACAACUACAAUAUACGUUCCAAACCACGGAAAGGGAAACAGAUUCCUGCCGAAACCCGCUCGCUUUACACAGAACAAAGCACGAGAAAUGCACACAACGAUACCCGCCGCACGAACCCUGCGCUCCGUUCUAUCCUGAAAGGGAGCGUUUGCUCUAGCAGCAAACGCACAAGAUCGUCAAAACUGAACAGUUUCACCAGGAGCACAAACCUGACGUAAAAAUACGAUUUGACAUAACCGAUUGCGGCGUAAAACACGCGCGCAAAAGAAGCAAGAGCAAGUGCGACACGAUACAGAUGCAGGAAGCAGGAAGAAACACAGAUAAACAGAAGAAAUGCAACAAUUAAGUUCCUACUCUAAAAUAAAGAAAAAUAAAACAUGAAACAUAGAUAAAAAUAUACGUUAUAAACGAGAGUGUAAUAAUUGUACUAUUUAGGCGCAUGAAUUUAUCCCAAAAUCGGAUUGUUCGAUGUUUUUUGGGAAGUGAAACAAAACGAAAAGAAGAUGAGAUAGAAAAUGAAAGGAAAAGAUACACACCCCCCGAGACGCAUAUACACACAUGUGAGUAGGAGAGAAAAGGAGAAAAGAAAAACAUCAGCAAAAAAAUCAUGUGAACGCAAAUCGUGAUCGUGACAAAAUGUAAAGUUACAAGAGACUGAACGUUUGCCCUGGCGGUGGCGGCGUUUGGUUGAUGAUUGUGUUUUGAAAUAUUAGGAAAAAAACAACCCUUAUGCUAAAUGAACAUGAUCAGCAUAAUGCAUAGUUCUACUCCUAGACCUUAUAUUUUAAUGAUCAAUUCCUUACGGUUGGAGCGUUUUUCCGCCAUCGGAACCUACUAGCAGGUCUCCGGACUGUUUAGCGUGAAGACCACUUUGACCGUGCGCGAUUAAUCCUUGAAAAGGGUUUAGGAUCUAAGCUAUAAUGAUGUGUCAUUCUGCAGUGUGGAAGAAUCAAAUAUGACGUAAAACAUAAACACCCAAACGUCGCCACACACAUGGCAGACAGAACAGUUUUGCACCUCGCUUGUUCUCAUCUCAACACAAAUUGAGAUGAGACCUAGAAUUCUACUAACUAUAACAUGUAGUAUUAAGAAAGUUACACUGGAACCGAAGUGAAAAGAAAGUUCGUUUCAGAAUGAUUAAAUGAUAACAUAAGCUACACAAAUACACGCAAACAAAGCGUAAAAUGAUGUGUGAGACAAUGAAACACUGAUGAAUAAAUGUAUAAAGUGAUGGACAGGAGAAGCUGCAAAAAGAAAAGCACAAAAGACGAAUAAUCAUGACGAACAAUGCCAUACGAUGUGUGUGUGUGUGUGUAAUUAAAACGAAAUCAAGCAGCAGUAUAAUGUAAAAGCACCAUUGAACAUAAUGAUAUCAAAAAGGCAGCAGAAAGAUCGAGAUCGAUCUCAUAAUCCAUCUCGAUGAUAGGGUUUUGAUUCUUGUACCAUACAUCUUUGCGCCGUUACCUAUCUUUUUGCUGUUCUCUGGGCUAAGGUGUAGAGAGUUUCCAGCGCCAAACACUUGACAGAAAGAUCCAUGAACUAUUAAACUCUACUCUUUGCACGUUUCCACAUUUUGAUGCGGGCGAUUUUCGAAACAUUGCAGCAUAAACAACAACCAACUGUUUCUGCGCGAUCAACAACACAGUUUGGACCAGCCAGUGGAACAUUCCAACAUCAACUUACCACCGUUUCACUCAAGCGGGCUCUUUGGGCGUCAACAAGAUAAGCAUUGCGAUCUUAUAUACUAUUGUAGUCAGCUUAUCGAAAUGCAUAGACAUAUUUUAUAAAACGUGGGAAAAUAUAACAAAAAAAUAUAAAAAUCAUAAAACAAAACCAAAAAAAUAUCGAGUGCGUAAAAUAGAUGAAAGUUAAACAUAUGCAUACAUACCCUUUGAAUAUUUAUUAUUCAUUGACGAUCGAAGAAAAUCAAUUGAUCUCUAACGACUAUAUUCGUCGCCCACAGUGACAGUGAUCGAGUGCGUUCGAUCGUUGCUUGCGGUGCGCGUACGAUCAGUCGACUCAUGUGCAAACAUACAAUCCAUGUGCAAUGAAACAUAAAAUUUGUUCGCUAAUGUUGUGUGCGAUAAUUAAUCGGACAACAGUUUGAUAUUAGGAAAUAGGGUAAAAUUGAGCAAUGAAACAGACAGAGGGAAGGUGUGCUGAAUAUGCGAGGAGGCUCACCGUUCCUUUUGUCUCUUUCGUGUUGGUGUGUGUGAACCGAGUGAACGGGGGAGGCUAUAACUUUCAAACCGUUCUGCUGAAGUCGACAGCAGAACGGAUUUAACGUUGUAGGGAUUAAAAUUCAUCAAUAUUUGCAGCUAUUGUUUAGGAGAUAAAAAGGAAUUAGCAGAAAGGGGAGAAAUGAUUCGAUUGAGCCAGCGGUUGAUAUGAGAUAUUUUUUUAGAUUUACUAAGAGCUAAAGAAGACGGCAGUCAUACGGCCAGUGGCUAAGCGGUAGCACUAACUGAUGAAAAGUUCCUAUAAUGCAUUACCCGCAUUCUUCGAGCCGAUCGGGAAUGAGGGUGUGCGACCAUUUGUCAUUAAUAUUACAGACAUUACAUUACACACUCACUUCAACGUGAUUAUGAAUCUAUUAUAUGAUACUACUAAACAAACAAGCGUAUGUAUAAAUGGCUAUGUUUCGUUUGAUAAUGUUUUAAGUUAGUUUGUGCAGUUUCCAAUAAUGAUUCGAUGCAUGUAGAGACGCAACUUUAUACGCAUACCCUGCCCCAACGUGCGUGGGAUCUUACCGAAUCUAGUGAUGAUGAUAGCUUCUGCCUAGAGCAACUGCUUUACACGGUCCAAACGGCAGGAAACACAGUGCAAUGUAUAAAACACUAUUGGAACUUUCACACCAGUGCAUCGAGAGAGUUUAAUUUGUCGGAUCGAACUCCACCUACUUAGUACUGUAACGAGCGUUGGAUUUUUUUUAAGACAGACCUGCCUGUCUGAUAUAACAAUCUUUAAUAAUGGAUUGUUCACCAAAUUGAAUCAUUUCGUUUAUAACGAAAAUGUUCGCUUUACUACUCGAAGAGAGAUUUUAUUCGAUGUAUAAAUAUGAAUACAAAAGGUUUGUUGGUAAAAUAAACCAAAACACCACUGCACGCGAUCACCAACACACGUAGGCACACAAUGAAAAACAAAAAAACACACUGAAGGACAUUGUUUCGUGAAAAAUAAUUUACUGAAACUACCAAAAUUGAAUGUUACACAAAAACAUGACAAUUGAUACUCGCGAAAACAACAAUAAUAGUUUAUUAGGUUGAAUAGAGAGAGGACAGCAGUAUGUUCGACUGUUUCAAAAGGUGGCUAGGGUGCGGACAUGUAAUGGCAAAACAUGCAUAACUUUAAAUGAAACGAAUUUUGUUCCUAUUUGAGAUUGGAGAGAAAACGAUAAAACACAAGUGUGAGCAAAGAAUAUGGCAAACAUAGACAAAGAAAGAAAUGCAAAAAUAACCAUACAAAACCGGAAAACCGUAGCAAUUCAUGCAAAUUAAACAUCAAAUCGUAAUGAUAAACAACACACACAACCACAUAUAAUCAAACAUUUCUACAACUCAAUCCACUUGAACUGAACGCCGCGCGCAAGAAAAGGUCAGAGAAAGAGAUAACGAAAGAUAAAAGAAACACAGAAAGACUCGACAUAUCAUGAACGAUUACUUUUGCCCUCGCAUUAAACAAGUGAAACUAAGAAAAUUUUUAAACCCAACCGCAUUAAAAAAAAAGUGAAUCAUUUAGAUGAGGGAAGCCGAAGAAGAAAACGUUCUUUCAUGUGUCAAAUGUCAACCAACAUAACACACUAUUGCUACUACUAGUAAUAUUACUGUUACUACCAAUACUACUACUUACUACUAUUACUACUAACAACUACUCAACAGAAGGCAGCAGAACAGAGAUCAAAUACCAGGGCUACUUUCUUCGUUGCCGUUUAUUUCCCUCAACUAACCUGUUGUGAUCUAUACUCCUUGUUUUAAGCAAGUUCAAACCCAAAACUCCAACAACAAACCAAACGCAUCCAGUGGAAGGCCAAGAUUAAACCGCGCUUAAAAAAGAAAACCAACCUCUACUACAAAGUUCCUGUUCCCUUGCUUUUUGGCACGCGAUCGCAAGGGGUGUGAUCGGUGCUCGUGGGGAAAUUGUUCAGUUUGUUAUUUUAACAUAUUUGUUAGUCUUAUUUUAAAGUCGUUCGUUCAAAUUUUCCUCAGACAAGAAAAAAAAGAACCUUUACAAUACUCCAUGUCAAACGAUGCUUAUUGAAGCGGUAUUGCUUCCGACACACUUUUUCAAUGAUUGGCAGAAUAAAUUAUAGCAUUUCACAAUGAUUAGAUGAAACAUGAUGUGUGAGCGUGGUGGCAGAGGAUUGCCGUAGCGUCAUAAAUGAUGAAAACGAAAACUGAAUUUGAAACAAUUCAAAUUUUCACUCGGAAGACACUGAAGCUACCAGAAGCAAAGUGUUGUUUCUUCCAUGGUGGGUGAUUUGAAUUGAUUCCAGUUUUCUUCCAGAGGGUGAGAUAGUGAGUAUGUUUACUUGACGUCAUCAUGUUGCAGGUCAUUAAACUCGAUGCAGGUUUGGAUUUCAACAAUGUCGUUGAUGGCAGCGGUUAAAUCCACCCCGCCCUCUGUAGUCAACCACGAGCUAAUGUAACCUUAGAAAACGCAAAGGAAUGAGCAGCAAAAGCAAAUGUUAAAAAGAAGAUAAGAAACAAAUACACUAACCUAACGAAAAUGGUAAAAAGAGUUCCUAUAAAUUAAGUACUACUAACUAACAAUACUCACUCGCAACACGCAGUGACUGUUUAUGUUUACAUUUUUCGUUGAUUUGUUCAUUUGUUUUCAUGCUAGUUUUGCGUUUCUUUUUUAAAUUAGUUUUUAACACCAUUUUUUGGCUUUUUAUUUUCCUGUUGUCUUUUAAUACGGUCGGUGAAAUACUACAACGUUACUUUUACAUUUGUGUAACCCUUUAUCAAUAUACAACAAAAGGCAGAAACACUGAUCUACGAUGUAAGAAUUAUUUGAUGAGUUUGAUGUAUGAAAAAAUGUAAAGAUAACAUUAAAAAUAUGGUGAAAAGUAACUAUUAGCUGUAGGAACCGAAUCGGUACAGUGAGCCGCAAAUUGCCCAAAAGUAAACCAAAAACGAAUGUUCUUAAAUCGUUUUACGUAACACAACCGUCGUGCAGACAGCAUUCGAUAAUGGUUUUAUGUUGAAUACUUUCAAUCCAAUCCACAAAACGACAAGUGUAUGAAGAGUUUUUACUUCAGCAUAAAGACAUAUGUAAAUCAACAGUCAAACCUGCACUGAAAAGAGCAAGUGCAUUCAAUCAAACAAUUACAGAAGAGAAAAAAUCAACCUACGAAAUGAAUUACAGAGUAAACAUUACCGGCAAAUGUAUGUUGGCAGAAAGAACUAAGGUUUAAGGUAACCUCUGUAAUAUUGCCAUUUGCUUUCACCUUCUUCACAUGCCCUCCUGAUCCUUCACCAUCAGUCAAUGUCAACUAAACUAUACCGCAGCUAACACUAAUAACGAACCGGAGAACAUUUCAACCCAAGCUUACUUAUUCUAACGAGCUGAAGGAAUUCAAACGAAAUGCAACGUAACAGGACAAUGGUCCUUACAAUCUAGCACAAAGGAGGGGAGAUACGUGGAUGAAAUGAAGCAUACACACACACACACAAUUGCAGAAAAAAUCUACUUACAUUGUAUAAGAUAUAUUGUCAGAUGUAAAAGAAGAAAAAUAAACUUAUUUGGUAGUCAAGAUCAA